GGUGACCUCGAUCAGGUAG
rnacentral:rRNA from 1 species